UACGGAGGGUGCAAACGUUGCUCGGAAUUAUUGGGCGUAAAGCGCAUGUAGGCGGCCGAAUAAGUCGGGUGUGAAAGCCCAGGCUUAACCCUGGAAGUGCACUCGAAACUGCUCGGCUUGAAUAUGGAAGAGGGUCGCGGAAUUCCCGGUGUAGAGGUGAAAUUCGUAGAUAUCGGGAGGAACACCAGUGGCGAAGGCGGCGACCUGGGCCAAUAUUGACGCUGAGAUGCGAAAGCGUGGGGAGCAAACAGG
rnacentral:rRNA from 1 species